AGACAUGCCUUUGCCGAGGGAGAAGGUUGGAUAUUUCCUUCUUCACUUCUUCCUACUUCUUCCUACUUCCUCCUUUUCCAUCUUUGUUGGGUGUAAUUUGCAUAGAGGCAGCUAGCCUUGUUCCAAGGGGGAAAUGCUUGUGUUGUUUAUUUAAAACUGUACAGGUUGCAGUUUUGCUCAAUGGUCCAUGGUGACUAACAGAUAAAAUUACAACUAAAAUGCAACAGUAGAAACAAACUAGCAUUACCAAAGCAAAUCAAAGGCCAGUAAAAGAGAUGCCCAAGCAACAAUAAUCACCUAAGCUCAAACGCCUGGCAAAGCAGCAGCUUCCUAACAGCCAAACGAGGCACAAGGACGAGGUAAACUUUCAUGGGGAGAGAAUUCCAUAACGUGGCCACUUUGGAAAAGGCCUUGUCUUGAAUCACAACCAGCUGCACCUCUAAUGGUGGUAGCAUCAAAAGCAAGGUCUCCUUAGAAGACCUCAACAGAUGGACAGGUUCAUGCAAGAGAAAGCAGUCCUUUAGGUCCUCUUGGACCACACCAUAUAGAACAGCUUUUUCCUGUCUAGAGCUGAAUUCUCUCAGGGUUUAUUUGUCAAGGACAGCAUGCCAGAAGUGUUUGGAAGCAGAGCUGGUGAUGGUUGGAGCCAGACCUAGUAGUUUUCUGGAUUAACUCAUCUAGAACAAAUACCACCUUGCUUUUCACCCUGGCUACCUCAGCUUAGAAUUCCAGUGCAGGUCUACUCAAAAGUAAUCCCUGCUGUGUUUGAUAGGGUUACUCUCAAAUAAGUAUACAGGACAUUUUAUUUUUUAGUCCAACAGAUCAAUAAGCUUCAGUUGUGGAAAGCAAGUGAAAGUAAUUCUUUCUGACUUAAGUAUUCUCUAUGCACAGACCCCGAGCAAUUUCUUUUUAUCAGAUAAAAUACUAUACAUCCCAACUGUUCUGGAACUACAUACAUAUAGGAGGGAAAUGAUUUAAAAGGCCACUGGAAGCCAGUGCUGGUUAAGCAACAGUGGGAUAGCAUGAUGUAAAAAAUGAGCAGGUGGCACUGUGGUCUAGACCACUGAGACUCGGGCUUGCUGUUUGGAAGGUUGGCAGUUCGAAACCACACAAUGGUGGUGAGCUCCUGUUGCUGUGUCCCAGCUUCUGCCAACCUAGCAGUUCGAAAGCAUACCAGUGCAAAUAGAUAAAUAGGUACUGGUACGGCAGGAAGGUAAAUGGCAUUUCCGUGCGCUCUGGCUUCCAUCACAGUGUUCCAUUGCACCAGAAAUGGAAAGCUGUCUGUGGAUAAAUGGCAGCUUCCUCAGCCUGAAGAGAGAUGAGUGCUGUACCCCAUAGUCCCUUUUGACUGGACGUAACAUUCCAGGGGUCCUUUACCUUUACCUUUUUACCUGAUACCCAUCCUGGGCAGGCUGAAGUGCUUUCCAUGAGGCAGAGUGCUGAAUAUGAAAAGAGAACUCUUGUGGGGAAGUCAGUUUGCCUAAAGGCUAUAUCUGGAGAAACCUCCACCGCAGCAGAGAGCUCAGCUGAAUUUUCAGAGCAAAAUCUGAACCUGAAGGAUCUGGUUUGUCUUGACUGGUCAGUUUCAUCUUGUAUUCUUAGGUGGUGUAUACAUGGCACUAUUCAGAAAGAGUGUGUCUGUAGUUGUAUGGCCCUUCCGAGACUUGUAACACUCCAGAACCCUGGUGGGAGAAACCACAAACGCCAUCUGCAUGCACAGAAGGCUAGACAUCUACUUGAUGUGCUGGGUUUCUACAAGCAGAAGGUUUUUGUCAUGAGAAAGUCAUACCUCCUUUCUGAAGUGGUGCAGCCCCAGAAGGAUUGUAUCACACGCCUCUUCCAAAUGCAAGGACUAUUUCUUUGGAAAUGCAGGGCAUUAUCCAACUAACCAGAUAUGCUAGCACAAGAAUCCUUAGCUGUGCAGUGGAACUUCUCCACCAUUUCAUCUACUCACACAUGCACUGCCUGCCAGGUAAAACUGCUCUGGAGGGUUGGAGGGAAAACCCCAGAACAGAUUUAGGGGUUCCAUAGUUGUAUUUGCAGAGUGAACAGAAGGCAGGGAAGUUGCAUUGUGCAGUUAAAAGUCCUUACGCUAGCAUAACUAUGGGACACCACUCAAAUGAUGCAACCAUAUUUAGAGAGCACUCAAAACUGUCAUAGUUGAAUUUGGUUGAAGAAAUAAUAGUGGUUUGUUGAGUGUCAUCUUUUCUAAAACACAGAUCCUGAUGGAAGAAGUAUGGAAAGGUUUAAGCAAAGAUAUAUUCAUUUAGACUUCUCCUUUAGCAGUCUUUGUUGGAAGGCAAUGAAUAACUUAUAAAUAUUUAAAUAUAAAAAUAUGACACAGCUAUGUUAAUUUAACUCAUAAAUAUUCUAUGGACUCCCUAAGAUUGCAUAUUGUUUUGCUUUGCAGCUUCCUUAUUUGUACAAUCUAUUUUUAGGAUUCAAUUAUCAUAUCAGGAACAGCAUCAUUUUCAGUGAGCACACACAUACACACACAAUUUCACCUAUGAUCAGAAUUUAGCCAGGUGAGAUUAUUUAACAUUCCCCCCCACCACACACAUUUCAGUUGUACUAAUUGAUAGAUUGCUAAAAAUAAAAACAUUGUGGUGCUUCAUGUGGAGCUGCCAGCUCAUGGGAGCAGAUAUGUUAGCCUGAACCCAUUACCUUAAUUGUUAUCAAACCAUUUAAGUACAAUGGUACCUCUGGUUACAAACUUAAUUCGUUCCGGAAGUCUAUUCUUAACCUGAAACCGUUCUUAACCUGAGGUACCAUUUUAGCUAAUGGGGCCUCUUGCUGCUGCCACGCUGCCACCUUGCGAUUUCUGUUCUCAUCCUGGGGCAAAGUGCUUAACCCAAGGUACUACUUCCGGGUUAGUGGAGUCUGUAACCUGAAGUGUUUGUAACCCGAGGUGUUUGUAACCCAAGGUACCACUGUACUGUAUUUAGUUUUGAAUUAUCUGACAUUGUUUUUUAAAUGUUUUGCUAAAACUCAUUGUAAGAAAAUAAUUUCAUGAACAGUAAAAAAAAAGCAGUGCUUAGAACCAGGUACAAAGACAAUUACGUGAACCGGGAAGUGGAAACGAACUUGAGCCCAAAACUGGCUUAGAGGGUUUAUGACAUCCCCCUACCCUAGGAAUUGUAACUGAACCAUGAUUUAAAUUCCCUGGCUUAUCUUGAAAAGAAUACACACACACACACACACACACACACCAGUCAUGAUGGAUGCGUACUACCUCCAGUAUUUGUGGCAGUAUGCCUCAUCUUACCACCUGCUGGAGAGGGUGGUGUUAUAAGCUUCCUAUAGGCAUCCGGUGGACCUUUGGUCUGAUACAGCAUAGCCCUGCUUUGUUCAAAAGCAAAAGUUCAGGAGUUUCUUUUGUGAGUGAUAAGGUAAGGGCCUCACUUCCUCUUCCGAGUAACCAUAGAGAGGAAGGCAAAAGAUAGUAUUUUUGUAAGGUAACUGCUGCAGGAGAUGAGAGGAGUAGCAGGAAUUAUCCUGGGAUUGAGGGAUCAUUAUUUUGUUUGCUGCAGGUAUUUUGUACCACAAAUAUGAAGUUCAUAUGAAUACACAGAUAAAGCUAAGCUAAAAGUUUGAAAUUUCUAGAGGCUGUGCUAUAUCAACAUGAGAACAUGAGGAAGAAUUCUCUGCAUCUAUGCUAUGAUAAACUAAAAAGCCUAAAACACUUUACACCUCUCUCGUGUGAAGAUGCACUACCUGUCUUUGAUCAUUUUGUGCUGCAACGCUGUGCAGAUUUAGUUAACGAAGUUGAAAUUGCUUCUGAAUAGACAUGCUUAUGAUCCAGAUGCAAGCUGGCCUAGAGGAUAUCCUUUCUGAGAUGAAGAAACCACAGUAUCAGUAUUAUACAUGUGGCUAAAGCACACACACUGAUACAAUUCCAUUUACACUUGCCAGAAAUCAGAAAUACCUGAAAUGAAACUAAAAUGAUGUUUUCUUUUCCUGCCAUGCUAGCUGAUUUAGAAAUAAUAUUGUAGGACUGAAAUUCAUUCCGCCUGCACAGCUGUCAAUGAAUUCUUUUUAUAUAUAAUUACAAUGAUACAUACAAAGGAAGUAGCCAGGUAAUUCUAUGCAUGUCUACUCAGAAGUAACUCCAACUGAGUUCAGUAAGGCUUGCUUCAAGGUAAGUAUCUUAGGUUUGCAACCUAAAUCAUAUUAAUUCC
rnacentral:lncRNA from 1 species